AUCUGCACGAAAAGGAAAAAAGCCACCCCCAGGUUCUCCAAAGAAACGAAUGAACUCUCCGAAAAAGAAAAUAUCUCGGAAGGAGAUUGAAUCAAUAAACAAAAUGGAGAUCAGUGACCCGGAACGGGAAACCUAUGAAGAAAAUAACCCAAAGGAGGAAAAGUUUGCAGAAGAAGGGAUGAAUAAUCCUGAUGAAGAAAUUGAAGAAAUGAUUGCAAACGAUGAUAUAAGGCAAACAU